rnacentral:RNase_MRP_RNA from 1 species
ACUUGGUGUCAGUCACCUCCUUGGUUCCUCACGGGCCCUGUGCCCACCUGAGGAAAGUCCCCGGACUGCCGGCAGAGAGUGCCUGGUGCUGCUGUGCCCCUGCCCGCCUCGUCCCACGACAACCCCUGCCAAGACGCCCUUGGGCCGAGCGGGUGCACGCGGGGCGGGCUCUCGUCACGACCACAGACACACAGGUAGUGCGCGGCACGCGCGCCAACAGAAUGGGGCUCACUCUCAGGCCAUC